rnacentral:tRNA from 1 species
GAGGCCAUGGCGAAAAGGCGAACGCGGCGGAUUGUGACUCCGCAAGUACCAGUUCGAGUCUGGUUGGUCUCCCCA